UUUCUCUAAUCUAAUAUAAUAGAAAUUAUACCGUGCCUAUUGGCGUUGGUAUUUAUAAGAGUGUUUAGUGUGGACAGUAGUUACUGCAAUAGCGUAUAGUAAUACGUGUAGUAACCAACCCAGAUUGGUGAGCCUGUGACGUCAUUCGAACGAGUCGAGUAAAGAAGAGGAAAAAAAAGAAGAAAUAAUAUUAGAGAAAAAAAGAAAAAAGAAAAAGAAAUGUUAAAGCACAAAGCUAUCUGUCUAUCGGAUGGAGCGCGGUGUACGUUUUACGUACGCUAUGCUCAAUAUUUAUCACCCAUAAAAAUUGAGGUACUGCAACGCACGGUCUGCUAAACGCGUUACAAACAUCGUACAGAAAAGGAUGUAAAGAAUUAUAUCCCUCUCUACAGUCUUGUCCUCCAACAUCUUAUCGUACAUACAUAUAUAGAAGUUUCAUCGAACGAGGGAGAAAGUUAUUUACUUUAAAAAGAGCUCGGUACACACGUGUGUAAAAACAAUAUAUACAACCGCGUACCUGUACGUGCAUAAUAAAAAAAAAAUUUAACGAUUCUUACAUCGCGCGAAUGCACCUAUGCGAUUUCCUCCCGGAGCGCGCGUGUUCCACUAAUUGACACAAUUAGUGUAAUCAUUAUACUUAACCGGUAGCGGCGCAUGAGUAUUAUAACGAGUGCUUCUGACGCAAAAGAAACGUAACAAAUGAGAAAACCUCCGUACACCUAGGAGCGCGAGUGCAGUAAUUUCGCCGGUAAAUUUUAUUCGUUGAAAUUUAAACAAUUAAAAAAGAAAUAACGUUCAUAAUGUAACUCUGAAUUAUGCAUUAUGGCGUAUCGAGAUCGUUAAUUAAAUUUAAUUGGUUGUUAGCUCGCCUUCCCUGUAAAUGGGCGUAAUGAAUUUCGACGAUAUUCACUUACAUUCCCAGCAGAAGAAAAAAAAAUAAAUAAAUAAAAUCGAAUAAAAAUAAUCGAGAAAAAGUUAAAUAAAUUUAAGUGCGGUCAACAACGAAUGCACGAGCGCGGGGUACCGCGUAACGGAGUGUGAAAUCGUGAAAAAAAAAAAAAUAUAAAAUAAAUUAAAUAAUAAUGAAUACAUUUCAUGGGUACUCUCUCAUUAUAAUACCGACGAGAGAAAAAAAUUAAUAUGAAAAAAGAAUAACCAAAAGUACCACUUGAACACCACGGACAGACCGCUACAGCUUAUGUACCACAUAAUUAUACGUAUACCUCGUGUAAAAUAGGCCUCUACGGCGAUUUGAGAUGUCAUCGAGGCAUCGGUCGCCAUUAUUAUAGUUUCGUACUCGUAAAUCGACGGAAAAUACCCAAUUACACAAUGUAAUUGGAGUGGGACUUGGGUUCUGGCCAAGUUUUGUUAUGAUAAAGAAAUCAAAAAUGAUUUACCACUCACUUUUGGAUGCCUGAUUGGUUGGAGCUCACUGAUUUCACAAUCGUCCCCGCUGAGACUUGAGUUUGUUGAACAAUCGGAGAUUUUACGACACAUCGGAAUAUCCAGUAACUCAACUUGGCUUUUACUACGACUAUCUUCAAAGAGGACCCCAGAAGCUUCGGAAUUUGGAGAGUUUCCCUCGGAGCGUGUUAACUUUGGGUAAUAUGGGCUUGGCGAAGCUAAACACGAAUUCCUUCUGUUGAUAUUGCUAGAAAUAGAGGAGAAAAUAAAGAAAUAAAUAAAAUA